UUCUAGCGAGCCCACCUCCCACCCGUGUUUACUGUACCUUAGUUGCUUCGGCGGGCCCGCCAUUCAUGGCCGCCGGGGGCUCUCAGCCCCGGGCCCGCGCCCGCCGGAGACACCACGAACUCUGUCUGAUCUAGUGAAGUCUGAGUUGAUUGUAUCGCAAUCAGUUAAAACUUUCAACAAUGGAUCUCUUGGUUCCGGCAUCGAUGAAGAACGCAGCGAAAUGCGAUAACUAGUGUGAAUUGCAGAAUUCCGUGAAUCAUCGAGUCUUUGAACGCACAUUGCGCCCCCUGGUAUUCCGGGGGGCAUGCCUGUCCGAGCGUCAUUGCUGCCCAUCAAGCACGGCUUGUGUGUUGGGUCGUCGUCCCCUCUCCGGGGGGGACGGGCCCCAAAGGCAGCGGCGGCACCGCGUCCGAUCCUCGAGCGUAUGGGGCUUUGUCACCCGCUCUGUAGGCCCGGCCGGCGCUUGCCGAACGCAAAUCAAUCUUUUCCAGGUUGACCUCGGAUCAGGUAGGGAUACCCGCUGAACUUAAGCAUAUC
rnacentral:rRNA from 1 species